CAGCACCUCAAGUGGUCAGGAUGAUUAUUGGGCCUAAAGCAUCCGUAGCCUGCUUUGUUAGUUUUCGGUUAAAUACAUACGCUCAACGUAUGGGCUGCCGGGAAUACUGCAAAGCUAGGGAGUGGGAGAGGUAGACGGUACUCGGUAGGAAGGGGUAAAAUCCUUUGAUCUAUUGAUGACCACCUGUGGCGAAGGCGGUCUACCAGAACACGUCCGACGGUGAGGGAUGAAAGCUGGGGGAGCAAACCGGAUUAGAUACCCGAGUAGUCC
rnacentral:rRNA from 1 species